UCCCUGGUGGUCCAGUGGUUAGGACUUGGUGCUUUUACUGCCGUCAGCCUGGGGUUCGAUCCCCGGUCAGGGAA
rnacentral:tRNA from 1 species